AGCGAACGCUGGCGGCAGGCCUAACACAUGCAAGUCGAGCGCCCCGCAAGGGGAGCGGCAGACGGGAGAGUAACACGUGGGAACGUGCCCUUUGGUUCGGAACAACCCAGGGAAACUUGGGCUAAUACCGGAUAAGUCCGUAAGGAGAAAGAUUUAUCGCCAAAGGAGCGGCCCGCGUCUGAUUAGCUAGUUGGUGAGGUAACGGCUCACCAAGGCGACGAUCAGUAGCUGGUCUGAGAGGAUGAUCAGCCUCACUGGGACUGAGACACGGCCCAGACUCCUACGGGAGGCAGCAGUGGGGAAUAUUGGACAAUGGGCGCAAGCCUGAUCCAGCCAUGCCGCGUGGGUGAUGAAGGCCCUAGGGUUGUAAAGCCCUUUCGGCGGGGAAGAUAAUGACGGUACCCGCAGAAGAAGCCCCGGCUAACUUCGUGCCAGCCGCCGCGGUAAGAC
rnacentral:rRNA from 1 species